CCUACGGGGGGCAGCAGUGGGGAAUAUUGCACAAUGGGGGAAACCCUGAUGCAGCGACGCCGCGUGAGCGAUGAAGUAUUUCUGUAUGUAAAGCUCUAUCAGCCGGGAAGAAAAUGACGGUACCUGACUAAGAAGCCCCGGCUAACUACGCGCCAGCAGCCGUGGUAAUGAGGAGGGGGCAAGCUUUAUCCGGAUUUACUGGGGGUAAAGGGAGCGUAUACGGCUUGGCAAGCCAGAUGUGAAAGGCUGGGGAUCAACCCCAGGACUGCAUUUGGAACUGUCAUGCUAGAGUGUGCGAGAGGCAGGCGGAAUGCGUAGUGUAGCGGUGAAAUGCGUAGAUAUUAGGAGGAACACCAGUGGCGAAGGCGGCCUGCUGGACGAUGACUGACGUUGAGGCUCGAAAGCGUGGGGAGCAAACAGGAUUAGAUACCCCGGUAGUC
rnacentral:rRNA from 1 species